rnacentral:rRNA from 1 species
CAACUUCGGCAGACUGUGUGUUGGCUCGGGCGCUUUAAAGACUUUGUCGUAAACGAUUUAUCGUUUGUUUGAGCUUUUCGCAUACGCAAUCCGGCGAACAAUACUCUCAAAGUUUGACCUCAAAUCAGGUAGGAAUACCCGCUGAACUUAAGCAUAUCAAUAAGCGGAGGAAAAGAAACCAACCGGGAUUGCCUUAGUAACGGCGAGUGAAGCGGCAAAAGCUCAAAUUUGAAAUCUGGUACCUUCGGUGCCCGAGUUGUAAUUUGUAGAAGGUAACUUUGGGGCUGGUCCUUGUCUAUGUUCCUUGGAACAGGACGUCAUAGAGGGUGAGAAUCCCGUGUGGCGAGGAUCCCAGUUCUUUGUAAAGUGCUUUCGAAGAGUCGAGUUGUUUGGGAAUGCAGCUCUAAGUGGGUGGUAAAUUCCAUCUAAAGCUAAAUAUUGGCGAGAGACCGAUAGCGAACAAGUACAGUGAUGGAAAGAUGAAAAGAACUUUGAAAAGAGAGUGAAAAAGUACGUGAAAUUGUUGAAAGGGAAGGGCAUUUGAUCAGACAUGGUGUUUUGCGCCCUCUGCUCCUUGUGGGUGGGGGAAUCUCGCAGCUCACUGGGCCAGCAUCAGUUUUGGCGGCAGGAUAAAUCUGCAGGAAUGUAGCUUGCCUCGGUAAGUGUUAUAUCCUGUAGAAAUACUGCCAGCUGGGACUGAGGACUGCGACUU